rnacentral:rRNA from 1 species
AUACGUAGGUGGCAAGCGUUGUCCGGAAUUAUUGGGCGUAAAGCGCAUGUAGGCGGUUUGGUAAGUCGGUCGUGAAAAUGCGGUGCUUAACGCCGUAUGGCGAUCGAAACUGCUGAACUUGAGUGCAGGAGGGGAAAGGGGAACUCCCAGUGUAGCGGUGAAAUGCGUAGAUAUUGGGAGGAACACCAGUGGCGAAGGCGACUUACUGGGCCGUAACUGACGCUGAGGCGCGAAAGCGUGGGGAGCGAACAGGAUUAGAUACCCUGGUAGUCCACGCGGUAAACGAUGAAUGCUAGGUGUUGCGGGUAUCGACCCCUGCAGUGCCGGAGUAAACACAAUAAGCAUUCCGCCUGGGGAGUACGGCCGCAAGGUUGAAACUCAAAUGAAUUGGCGGGG